rnacentral:rRNA from 1 species
UACGUAGGGCGCAAGCGUUGUCCGGAAUUAUUGGGCGUAAAGAGCUCGUAGGCGGCUUGUCACGUCUGCUGUGAAAUCCCGGGGCUCAACCCCGGGCGUGCAGUGGAUACGGGCUGGCUAGAGGCAGGCAGGGGAGAACGGAAUUCCCGGUGUAGCGGUGAAAUGCGCAGAUAUCAGGAGGAACACCAGUGGUGUAGACGGCUCUCUGGACCGUAACUGACGCUGAGACACGAAAGCGUGGGUAGCAAACAGG